GAUGAAGAACGUAGCGAAAUGCGAUAAGUAAUGUGAAUUGCAGAAUUCAGUGAAUCAUCGAAUCUUUGAACGCACAUUGCGCCCGCCAGUAUUCUGGCGGGCAUGCCUGUUCGAGCGUCAUUUCAACCAUCAAGCCCCCGGCUUGUGUUGGGGACCUGCGGCUGCCGCAGGCCCUGAAAACCAGUGGCGGGCUCGCUAGUCACUCCGAGCGUAGUAAUACAUCUCGCUCAGGGCGUGCUGCGCGUCCCGGCCGUUAAAAAGCCUUAUUUACCCAAGGUUGACCUCGGAUCAGGUAGGAAUACCCGCUGAACUUAAGCAUAUCAAUAAGCGGAGGA
rnacentral:misc_RNA from 1 species